rnacentral:rRNA from 1 species
AGAACUCCGAUUGCGAAGGCAGCUCACUGGACUGCAACUGACACUGAUGCUCGAAAGUGUGGGUAUCAAACAGGAUUAGAUACCCUGGUAGUCCACACAGUAAACGAUGAAUACUCGCUGUUUGCGAUAUACAGUAAGCGGCCAAGCGAAAGCAUUAAGUAUUCCACCUGGGGAGUACGCCGGCAACGGUGAAACUCAAAGGAAUUGACGGGGGCCCGCACAAGCGGAGGAACAUGUGGUUUAAUUCGAUGAUACGCGAGGAACCUUACCCGGGCUUAAAUUGCAGUGGAAUGAUGUGGAAACAUGUCAGUGAGCAAUCACCGCUGUGAAGGUGCUGCAUGGUUGUCGUCAGCUCGUGCCGUGAGGUGUCGGCUUAAGUGCCAUAACGAGCGCAACCCUUAUCUUCAGUUACUAACAGGUCAUGCUGAGGACUCUGGAGAGACUGCCGUCGUAAGAUGUGAGGAAGGUGGGGAUGACGUCAAAUCAGCACGGCCCUUACGUCCGGGGCUACACACGUGUUACAAUGGGGGGUACAGAAGGCAGCUAGCGGGUGACCGUAUGCUAAUCCCAAAAUCCUCUCUCAGUUCGGAUCGAAGUCUGCAACCCGACUUCGUGAAGCUGGAUUCGCUAGUAAUCGCGCAUCAGCCACGGCGCGGUGAAUACGUUCCCGGGCCUUGUACAGGCCGCCCGUCAAGCCAUGAGAGCCGGGGGUACGUGAAGUA